CACUCCCCAUAAAGAAGCAAAACAGAAGAAAGACGUAAAGGAAGUCUUCUGAAGGUUUCUCCAUAAAGCCAGGGGAUGGACAGCAUUUAUGUGGAGUUUGAUUGCUUACAGAUUGGAGGACAAUCCUUCAAGAAUGACUUCUGUAAAGAAGGCAGUGUCCUGUUUUGCACAUACAAAUUCCCAUUUUACAGCAACUUUACCUCCUGCUCUUCCUAUUGCAAAAGAGGAAAAAAUACUGAAAAAAAUCAAUAGCUAAUUUCCUUUAAAUUUGUAUUAGAGAAAUAUAUGGAACUUAUUUUCUACAGAAAUGUUUGUAUAUAUAUGUAUACAUAAAUACAGAUAUAAAAAAAACCUUUACUCUGUAUCUGUUCUUCUUACUGUAUUGCAUGCUUGGUUACUGUUUAACCUAACCUAUAAUCAGGAUUGUUAAUAACUGACAUUAAUUGUAAUUAUAUUUAUUCUAAGAUAUAAAUUGACAUUAUUAUUAUUGAUUACACUUGUGUCUCUACAAAGCAUGUGAUAGGAAAAAAUAUAUAUUCCCUUCCUACCAUUUGAAGAGAUGUGGAGAACCACAUCUAGCUUUUCCAC